rnacentral:rRNA from 1 species
GACGAACCGAGCGAACGUUAUUCGGAAUCACUGGGCUUAAAGGGCGCGUAGGCGGUCUGUCAAGUCAGAGGUGAAAUCCCACGGCUCAACCGUGGAAGUGCCCCUGAUACUGACUGUCUUGAGGGAGGUAGGGGCGUGCGGAACUUCCGGUGGAGCGGUGAAAUGCGUAGAUAUCGGAAGGAACACCGGUGGCGAAAGCGGCGCGCUGGACCUCUACUGACGCUGAGGCGCGAAAGCCAGGGGAGCAAACGGG